AACUUUUUUGUCGCAAAUAACAUUAUUAAUAACCUGUAAAUAAUAUAAUUUGUACACAUUACGUUUCUCUUCACGUUGUAAUAGUAUGUUUUUGGUUUAAUAGUCGGCUUUAAGUUAGUUUGAUCGUCAAAAUCUUGAAAGUUAUCUACAGCCACACAUCCACUGUAUACCAAGUUAUGAUGAUCAAUUAUGAGAAUGCAAAAGGAUUUAUAGAUCAGUAAACAAUCAACAAAAAGAUGGGUGCUCAUGGUGGCCUCCAAAUAAAUACAUGGACAGGCUGCUAAAGAAGGUCAGGAUGAUGGAGAUGCAAGAGCCAAAGACAGCACGGACCAAACACCAGGCCAGAAUUCUGCAUGAGUCAGUUUCCAGCCUUUUUCACAAAGUUGCCGACAACUGGAAGAAUGUCCCAAAUUGCUGAAAAAAGAAAUUCAAUUGAGUAAUUUUCACUCUAGAGACCCUGGGGUGACCACCAAGGACGAAUGAAAACUCCAGUGAGUGUCUCUAAGGUAGAUCCUAAUGCAGAUGGAUGGAAUGUUGAUCCGCCUAACAUGCAAGGUUAAAGAGCAUUUGAUAGCAUAGUGGAUAAACAAAUAGCUUUUUUCAUUUUCACAGCAUUUUCAAAAACAACAUAACACUUGCUAUUACAUUGUUAUAUAUUACAUGACAAUGUCUAACUCUGAUCCAUACAAAACUGAUUUUCUGUACCGAGAACGUUGGAUGACCAUCAAGACAGUAAGUUUUCAAAAAUCUGACCUCAAUUUUAGUAACCAUUUAAGGAUUGUUUUUCUUUUAGUUGAUUUAAAUAAUACCCUAAAGUCCUCCGUUCAUCUUCGGAAACACUGUUUAAGAUAUUUUAGAUGUAGUCCGAGAGCUUGCUGACCCUCCAUUAAAAAUGUAUGUACGAUAUACUGUUCAUGUCCAG